rnacentral:rRNA from 1 species
UACGUAGGUCCCGAGCGUUGUCCGGAUUUAUUGGGCGUAAAGCGAGCGCAGGUGGUUUAUUAAGUCUGGUGUAAAAGGCAGUGGCUCAACCAUUGUAUGCAUUGGAAACUGUUAGACUUGAGUGCAGUAGAGGAGAGUGGAAUUCCAUGUGUAGCGGUGAAAUGCGUAGAUAUAUGGAGGAACACCGGUGGCGAAAGCGGCUCUCUGGACUGUCACUGACACUGAGGCUCGAAAGCGUGGGUAGCAAACAGG